rnacentral:rRNA from 1 species
GACGAACGCUGGCGGCGUGCUUAACACAUGCAAGUCGAACGAAGUGGCGAACGGGUGAGUAACGCGUAAUCAACCUGCCCUUCAGAGGGGGACAACAGUUGGAAACGACUGCUAAUACCGCAUACUGAAGGAGGGGAUUGCGUGUGAUUAGCUCGUGGGGGGGGUAACGGCCCACCAAGGCGAUGAUCAGUAGCCGUGAUGAGAGGAUGGGCGGCCAAAUGGGGAGCGAGACACGGCACAGACUCCUAGGGGAGGGAGCCGUGGGGAAUCUUCCGCAAGGGACGAAAGACUGUCGGAGCAACGCGGCGGGAGUGAUGACGGCCGUCGGGUUGGAAAGCUCGGUUAAUCGGGACGCGGUACCGGAAUAGAAAGCAACGGCUAACUACGUGCCAGCAGCCGCGGUAAUAC